UAGUGGGCUGGUCUACAUCAGGCCUCUCAAACUUAAAUGCCUCUGGGCACUAGUCUGGCCACACUGCCUUUGCCUAAGGGGAGGGCAAUCAGAGAGCAUGCACUGUCUGUCAGCUUUGAAGUUCAAUACAAAAACGACAUACUCACCGCAAGCCAAACAAAAUCUCACUGAAGAUUAGACUUGGCCCAAGGCCACGAAUUCGCAACCCCUUGGACAUCAGGAAAGAAUUUCUGAUAAAAGAGGGAUUUGAGCCUGGUUUGGAUAAAGACAGACAGCCAAGGACUCCAGGUCUGUGAUGGGGGCAUCACUUUCCUUUGCAAGAAGGUAAUUCCACUGCCCUGGGUAGGAGCCUGUGGGGCGGUUGUAAAGCCACCCUGAAAUGAACUGAUCUAGUUCUGGCUGGGUGGCCUUCCCUGAGAGCUUUUACUUUUCUGUUCCUCGUUUGCAAAAUGGGGGAUCCUGUUGUCCUGGUGCCCAACCCACUCCUCCCCCUGCAGUUAACUUUCCAAUCGGCCUCAGUGUCCAUGUCAACAAAAUGGGUCAAGACUCCUCUCCAUUCUCCCAGUUUCUUCCAGCAGAGAUCUCAAGGGCUAUAAGCUUGCAGAAGAUCGACUUCUGCACCUUCGGGCUCCCGGGCAGGUCUCCAAGCCCCUCAAUCUCCCCUCUCGCAUAGCUCUCCUGGGACUGAGGCGCAGUCCUAGAGGACGGCAGGAGGAGGUGGCGGGCGGAGCUCAAGCGCGGUCUUAUGGCGACUGGGGACCAGGGAGGGAUGGCCUAGUUACGGCGCGUUGGCCCAGCGCAGCAGAGCGCCGCGGAUGAGAGCGGCGGCGGGUAAUUAGAACGCAUUAGUCGUGCCCUUGCAAUCCUGUAAUUUCUCCGCGCGCUCCGGGUGUGUUGUAUAGGAGGUGAAGCGAUGCGGGCUCGGCUCUGAGUCAGACUCUCGGAAGCCCGGGUGGGGACGCAGGGGGUGGCCAAGGCCGCGGAGAAGGGACACCUGCCGCGUGGGACACCAGAGCCUUUCCCUGGCGUGAAGUCACCUGUCCCGGGGCUACUCGAGGUGCGGCCCACUUCCGCGGAGACGAGGGCCGGGCAGAUGGGGGGCGUGGCAAGCGCCCCCUCCCGCCUUUAGGGGGCGCUCCUCCGUCCAGUAGAUCAUCCCGGGGCAUCUAGUCCGGUUCCCUGCGUCCAGCCAUGUGGCCUGCUCCCUGCGCACAGGUGAACUGAAAGAGUUGCAGAUGCAGUGCGCCAGGGAGGGACCCCCACCUCCCCAAAUUCCGUCAGAAACGGGCAACUGACCUAGGGCAGCAAUAGAAAAAAAUGUCAGAGACUUCAGAAGGGAAAGCCCUGGCUGAAUCGCUAGACGUCUAAAUCGUGUCUGCAACAGCCUGGGGGCUCGUGAAAAUUCCGUGGGGCUGUGUAUCUGUACCUUCAGACUCAAAGUUUCCUGAAACCCAAUGCUUCAGAAUGGAGUGAGGCGCUGCUGGUGACCGGGUGCUACUCUGGAUUGGCUUGGGGGCAAGACCUGGGCGGGGGUGGCUACCUGCCCUGCCCCUACCUGAUUGGCACAACAGAUAGCUGAGUGCUGGCUUCCAACCCUGGAAAGGGAUGGGUCAGCCUGAACCUUUCCACCCAGGCAAAUGGGGUGUAGGGGAUGGGAACUCUGGUGGACAGGCCUUCUAGGAACAUUCCUAGAAGGAGCCCUGGGAACAGGCACUGCUGCUGGGAGCCACUGCCUCGGCCUACCAGCCUGUGAGCAGCUCAGCAGAUGCCCUUGUCCUUCUCCCAGCUCAGCCUCUGGAUCCCCUAGGUAAAGCCCCGCUUGCUGUCCCUGCUGACCCCAAAGCCCUCUUCAACCACAGCAGGGAACCGGGCCUGCAGCCCCUGUGCUACCUUGCUGCCUUUCUCAGCCCAAGCUGCAGGGGCUCCCAGCCAUGGAUACAGGAGCACACACACAUGCUCAUAUACACUGGUGUCUUAUAGGUACAACCAGAGACCCCACCGUGGGUAGCUCCUCACAAACACAAGCACACACACACUCAGUACUCCCUCACAUGUAUACAUACCCACACAUUGAUGUACACUCACAAUUUCACACAUAGACCCACUCCUGUACACUCACACACAAAUAUGCAGUCAAAAUCCCUGUUGUUGGUUGAAUUGUAUCCUCCAAAAGAUAUGUUGGAGUCCAAACCCCCAGUACCUGGGAAUGUGACCUUAGUUGGAAAUAGGGUUAAGAUGAGAUCUUACUGGAUUGGCGGGGGGACCCUAAAUCCAAUGACCUUUUAGGGAGAGAGAUUUGUAGACACAGAGACAUGAAGACACACAGGGAAGAAGGUCGUCUGAAGAUGGAGGCAGAGAUUGGAGUGAUACAGCUACGAGCCAGGGAGCCCCAAAGAUUGCCUGUAACCGCCAGAAGCUAGAAGAGAGACAGUAUUCUCCUCCAGAGCCUCCAAAAGGAGCAAAUCCUACUGACAGCUUGCCUUUGGACUCUGGCCUCCUUAAUCUUGGAAAAUAAAUUGUUUUAAGCCACUUGUUAUAGCUGCCCUAGGAAAUGAAUACAAACACACACACAUACACCCUGGCUGGCUCUAGGCUCAGUGAUGAGGUCGGUGGAGUUCCUCCUCAGGGACUCCUUGUUCUCUGUCCUCCUUCCCCUGUGACUGGUCUGGUGGAUUUCAGAAAAGUGCAUGGCCCAGGGCAGGAGCUCGAGAGAUUUUAAUCCCUCCUUUUCCCCCUUAAGUUCUUAAUGAGGCAUCCUCCUCAAAAUAUGCUCUGAAGAAUGAGUUGCCAUGUUUAUGUGCACCAAAAGACGUGUCUAAGAAUGCUGUGGCAGCUUUAAUCAUAUAUUAAUUACAAACUGGAAACCACCCAAAUGCCCAUCAACAGCAGAAUAGAUGAAAAACUGUGGUGCAGCUGCUCCUCGGAAGGCUCCUAAGCCACAGAAAGCAAGAACGAGUCUGCAGGGAGAACUUGGGAGGCCCUCCUGGACCUCAGAUUGGACAGCCAAACGCACAGAGUGCAUGCCCCAGGAGUACAUUUGGAUGAGGUUUAAGGACAGGAAGGUCAGUUGGUGGUGAUACAGUCAGAAUAGUGGUUGCCU